CUGAAGAAUGCUAGAUAAACAAGUAAUACAAAAUAGCAAGAAUUGUUAUGUAUAGAAAAUAGUUGUGACUACUGAAUUUAUUGUUUAUUAUGUUGUUUUACUCGAGGAAGAAUACUGGCGGAGUUUAAAGACUUCUCCUGGCUUCAAAAAGUGCUCCCAGCCCACAUCUAUCAUCCUUACCAAACUGAGAUGAGGCAAAAAUCUGAAGUUUUUCAGCUACCAAUCAUCCUUUAGAAUGAGGCCAAGCAUGAGGAUUGUAUAGAUAUAUUGGACCAGUAUCAACAGGUCCUUGGUGAUGUUUACAUGAAGGCAUUUGUUACUGAGGGUUUUACAGACAGUUAGGAUACAGGAUCCACUGACCUUCUUCGGUCCUAUAAAGUCCCUGUUGGUGGUGAUCAAUUAACUCGUGAGCGUCUAGAGGAAGCGAAACACCUUCGUUCCUUAGCUACCUAACCAGAAAAGUGGUUUGAAGAUCUCCACCCUUUCAAAAUAGAGCUCUGGCACAUCAAGCAGGACUUCUUGGAGAAAUGCUUUAAAGAGCUGUUCAGUUCCAAAACUCUGAGACAAACUGGAACCCUAUACCAUUACAAGGGCAAGUUGCAAAGGAGCGAUGUAAAUGGAAAGGUUAAUGGCGCCUUUAAAGCGCAUCACGAUUUCCUGUCGCUGGCAGGUAAACAGAUGGUGAAGGUGCAGCUGAUGGAGUUCUUUGGCAUGGAGAGCCCUGAUUCCAGUUGCACCCGAAAUGUUAUUCAGCUGGUGAAGUCAAAAUCCGAAAACUAUGAAUCACUGUUAAAUUCAUUGCGACAGUUCCUUGACCACUUUGGCUAUCUAGACUAUGUACAUGAGACUGAUGGUGUGGUGUCCAAUGACACAGAUGAUACUGUGUAUACUGAGAGGUGGAGCUGCAGGAAAUAUUGAAAGUGAUCUUGUACAAGAAAACUCUGUAAGAAACCAAAAGGAUUUAAUCAGGGCUUUGGGUGCAAAUAAGGCGGAAAAAGCAAUUCAAAGAAGUUGCAGAGCCGCAGACACUGUGUCCGACAUUGUCGAGAAAAUAGAGAUUUCCACAUCAGUAAGGAAAGUUUCUAGUAGGCAUCAAACGCCAGCCAGAAUAAAAGAUAAGGAAGUGAUUGCCAAUUCUUUGAGGGACUUGCGACCGUUUUCUAAAACAAUAGGAAGAGUGUGUCAAGGCAUACCAAAUGUCCUAUGUUCAUCAGUCAGAAAAAUUAACUCUGUUGAUCUUAAGUACAGGAUCAAGCAAGUAGUAGACAGGCUGUAUUAUGGAAAUACUAUCAAUUUUGACCAUGAAUCGUCUGAGGAGGACUGCUAGGGUGUGUUACAUGGAGUGACGUAAUAAGUGUGCCCUACAAUUUUAAACCUCAGUCCUGUAUAUUAGUUGAUUUGAAACUAAGAGUUUUGAAAUUGUUUGUUAUGGACAUCUUAUUAACCACAAUGCAAGCAAAAAAUGCAUAAAAAUUGAA